GGGAUGGUUUGCGAACAAAGGACACAGAAAGGGUGCUGGUUCUUGCAGCCACAAACAGACCUUUUGACCUUGAUGAAGCUGUUAUUCGAAGGCUUCCUCGUAGGUUGAUGGUGAAUUUGCCAGAUGCUCCAAACAGAGCAAAAAUACUUAAAGUUAUUUUGGCAAAAGAAGAUUUGUCUCCAGAAUUUGAUUUUGAUUCGGUUGCUAGUAUGACAGAUGGAUACUCUGGGAGUGACCUUAAGAAUCUUUGUGUUGCUGCUGCUCACCGUCCAAUUAAAGAGAUA
rnacentral:misc_RNA from 1 species